rnacentral:piRNA from 1 species
UAUGGUCUGACAGGAAAAAUCCCCC